rnacentral:lncRNA from 1 species
AAAUGCAUAUAUUAUCCACGUAUCUAGAACGUUUCUGCUGUAGCUGUUUUAAAGACAAAAUAUCGAUCCGGUUUAGUGAUGGAAAAAGAAUCUCGAGUAGCGAUAUCGUCCAUGACACGUCGAUUUAAGAGAAUUUCUGCUGAAAAACUAGCCCACCCAUGCAUGGCAUUAAAUAUUGUUGUAUUAAACAUGUAUUUUUUUUUUUUCUGUGAGAUUUGUUUGUUUAAUUGUAAUAAAAAUUUCACAUAUAACAAAUAUAUAUUUAUGUAUAAGAACCUUAUAUAAAGUAUUAUAUUGUUUUAUAGUAUUAAAUUGUAAGUAAAAAAUAUUUAUAAAAAAGUAAACAAAAUAUUUGAGAAGCG